rnacentral:rRNA from 1 species
AUUGAACGCUGGCGGCACGCCUAACACAUGCAAGUCGAGCGGCAGCGCGAUAUGUAGCAAUACUAGUUGUCGGCGAGCGGCGGACGGGUGAGUAACACGUAGGAAUCUGCCCUUAAGCGGGGGAUAACCAAGGGAAACUUUGGCUAAUACCGCAUAAUCCCGAGAGAGCAAAGCUGCCCGCAAGGGUGGCACUUGAGGAGGAGCCUGCGUCCGAUUAGCUAGUUGGGGGGGUAAUGGCCUACCAAGGCGAUGAUCGGUAACUGGUCUGAGAGGGCGACCCGGUAACAUGGGAACGAGACACCGCCCAGACUCCUACGGGAGGCAGCAGUGGGGAAUAUUUGACAAUUGGGGCAACCCUGAUCCAGGGAUGCCGGGUGAGUGAAGAAGGCCUUCGGGUCGUAAAGCUCUUUAGGUUGGGAAGAAGGGUAUUGGCUGAAUAAUCCAGUACUUUGACGGUACCGACAGAAUAAGCACCGGCAAACUCUGUGCCAGCCGCCGCGGUAAUAC